UGGAGGGUGAGCUGGCAUGUCACAAUUGCCACUGGGGUCAGGAGAAAGGGCAAGAGCAGGUCAGAAAACGGCACCGCUUCCCUCCCCUCCCCAACAAAAAGCAUGGGGUCCACCAGCACAACUCUGGCAUCCCAAAUCCUGGCUGGUGUGGGGCUCUCCAGCCCGGGCCUCACCGAAGAAAACGGGUUGCUGGCAACGCGGGCAGGUCCAGCUCAUGGCUCUGCACAGGGCAGCCGGCGCCACACACAGUAGGCAGCACCGAGGUGGGCUCGGUUCCCGCCCCCUUCGCUGGCUCCACCCAUAGCUCCGCUGUGAGCCUCAUUGGGCUGAAUUCUGCAGCUCCUCCGCGCCUAUUGGCUGUCAGAAAUUUAGAACUCCUGGGAGAGGAAGGCGACUUCGCAGUUCUUUCCAAAAUCUAAAGCCUCUGACCCGUGUAGAUGAGAGAGGAACUUAAAGCCAGACGGGAAAGGAAGAGAGCAAUGAAGACACCUGUAAGGAUGGCACUAGAUUCUGGCUUGGUACGGAGAGGAAAAGUGUCCAGAGUGCAGACGUCAAGAAACACUUGUAAUUCCCUCAAAGCAAGGGGUCAGGCAUUUUUUGAAAUGGCUUAAUUCCGCCUUGACAGUCUCACAGGUGGUUAAGAGCAAAGGAAUCUGGAGAGCAUCUCUGCCACUUACUCUCUGGCUUCAGGCGAAUUACUUAACCUCCCUCUGCACCCAUUUGUACAGUAGCUCAGGAAAUGAGGGGCAGGAGAGAGAGCUGAUUACUGUGUGCCAGUGCCCCAGUGGAGAAAACAAUCCCUCUAAAUAUUAGGUGGUGAAAUGAAGAGUUUUCUGGAGUAAGUUCCCCUUUGAAAUCAAACUGGCAACUUGACUUAGGUUUCUGAUGAGGUGACAAGAGGAUGUUGGGCCAGAUCAGAGAUUUGGGGUUUGACUGAUUUCAACAUGCCUAUGAAAUCUGGCUUGAAGGAAAAAGGAGCUUCAGGGGCAAUGUGUCCCCUUCCUGGCCUGACACCAUUAUUCCAGAAUGCUGUUGAACUGAAGAGGUUACUGGCAGCCUCGAUAUGUAUAGAAGUUAUGAUUGAUUUGUCUGGUAUCUUACGGAAAAAGAGGGAAAAAAGGAAAAGAGAGAUUGGAUCCCCCAAAAACUCCUCACAGAGCUGGCAGUAAUAUCCAGUGAUGGGAAUCAGAAACUCAGAACCUGAAAGCAGCAGAAGUCAAGAAAAUAAGUCAUUUCCACCCAGUAGGCUCCACACCCAAUUUGGGGCUUGAACUCAUGACCUCAAGAUCAAGAGUUGAAUAUUCUACUGGCUGGGCCAGCCAGCUAUCCCUCAGUUCUAUUUUUAAAGUAGGAGGACCAGAAGCCCCCAGCUACCCACCCCCACCCUCUCUGCCAACUGUUAAACGGAAAUCACCUGUGGAAAAGAGAAAGAGAAAGAAAAUUUCAAACCAACUCUGCAUUUUAAAGAGAGGCAUAGAAAGAAUACCAACCAGUGUGGAUGUGAAUUCCUAAAAGCACAGAUGAAGAAAUGGAAUCAGAGACGCAUUAUGGAACAUCUUUUUGUGCCAAAAAGAAGUACUCCAAAAAUGAUGGGAACAUAUUAAAGGACACAGUAAUCAACUUAAAAGGGACUCCCCUGUCCAAAUCUGGGAUACUUCGGCCAUGAAAAUAAAUGACAGUAAAUUACUGUAACUUGUUAAAUGAAGAGUCCAUGAGUUCAUACUGACAAAAAUGGAUUAAUGAAUGGAAGAAGAGGGAUGGACAGGAAGCUCUUUAUCACAGUAGAAAGCCAACUAAUAAAGGCAGAAGAAAUGAUGAGAUUAAAAAAAUCACUAUUUAACGACCACUAUAAUAACUGAUUCAGUCAAGAAUCACCAAUGAAUGCUAAAACUAGUGAGAGGAAAUAUGAGGAGUAACUGAAUAUUUAUUCCUAUAAGCAUCUUUCCUAUAAGUUAUUUACUAAUUAUAAAGGAUAAAAUAAUAACUUUCCAGUGAAGAAACCAUUGAAGACAGCACCUUAACCAAAUGAUCAAAGUUGACAUCACCAGUAACAGGACUGAAAUCAACAUCUGAUAAGAACUCAGCAUCACUUCUGUGAUGUUCCUGUCAAAAAUGUAUAACCUAAAUAUAAUUAUAAGGAAGCAUCACACCAACCAAAAUUAAAGGACAUUCUACAAAUAUGUGACUUUUCUUCUAAAAUGUCAAUGUCAUGAAAUACAAAGAUUCAGGAACCGUUACAGAAAAAGGAGAGUAAAAGAACAUGACAACUGAAUGCAAUGCAUAAUCUUGCAUUCUCUUUUGCUUUAGGGAUUAGGACAAUCAAUGAAAUAGAAAUAAGACCAGUAGAUUACCAUUACAUUAUAGUUAACUUCCUAAUUUUGGUAAGUGUACUAUGGUUAUGCAAGUGAAUUCUUUGUUGUUAGGAGAAUGUUCACCUUCACAAUUUUUAGGAGUAAAAUAAAUAAAUAAAUAUCUAAAACUUAUAGAAUUCUAUAAUAAUAUCUAAAACAAAGAAUUCAGGAAACACACACACACACAAAGACUGAGAGGGGAGAAAAAGGAUAGAAUACGAUAAAAUGCUAAUAAUCAUAGACAGAGAACAUCUGAGAAUUCUUUACACUAUUAUUGUAACUUUUUAUUGUAACUUUUUUCUAAUUAAGUCAAAAAUUUUUUUAAAGUAUAAGGCUUUAGGUCACUGAACCUGUCUAAGAGUCCUCACAGCUCUCCAUUUGGAUCUCCUACUCAAGUUACUGCAAAAAGGCAGUCAUGCACAGGAGUGUCUGAUACCUUGUUGUUUGUGAAGCCUCUCCAAUUCGGUCCUGAGGUAGUACAUCUUCUUCUGGCGAGCUUCCCGGUCACUCUUUAGCUUUUCCCUCUCUUCAAUAACCUGCAAAAUAC